GGUGAGGUGGCUGAGUGGUUGAAAGCAGCGCUUUGCUAAAGCGCCGUAGCUCAAAAGGCUACCGAGGGUUCGAAUCCCUCCCUCACCGCCA
rnacentral:tRNA from 1 species